ensembl:snoRNA
GUGCAUCCAUUUGACAGACCUGGAGCAGUUACUGUCUGCUACUAAGGUUUCCAUUAUAGAUACAAGAAAAAAGUGUCCCCAUGAUUUCUGUCUAAUUGCAGCAGCCAAGAUUUAAUGAGGGGACAUGGAA